AAGAAGAAGAGGAAGAAGAAGAAGAGCUUCCAGCUUUUGUAAGCUUAUCACU
rnacentral:sRNA from 1 species